rnacentral:rRNA from 1 species
AUGGUGCUACAUCUCCCUUUCUCUUUGGAAAAAUCCAACUACUCCAUCAUGAGUAGUAGAAGAAUUUUUGGCGCCGUUGCCAGAGGGGUUACCAUCUACCAAAUCAGGUGCCUUCGCACAAACACCCUAUGUUUUCUUGUUUUUAUUUUCUUGUCUAGUUGCCUUUUCCUUUUAAUUUGCCUUCUUUUUGGUUUGCGAAAAAAAUUCCAAAAUAAUAAACAAAAUCUUGAGUUGCUAUCUCUGCUUGUGUCGCCACUAUGUCUACUCUUGAAGAAGUUGAUGUUGAAAGUGCUAGUGAAGAUAAUCCUAGCGAAAAUCAUGAGGAAGCACUUAAGAUACCUAACUUUAAUAAUGAUCCUCAUGAUAAUGAACCUCCUUUGA